rnacentral:rRNA from 1 species
UACGUAGGAAGCGAGCGUUAUCCGAAUUUACUGGGCGUAAAGUGGGCGUAGGCGGCCUUUCAAGUUGGAUGUGAAAUCUCCUGGCUUAACUGGGAGGGGUCAUCCAAAACUGCUAGGCUGGAGGACAGCAGGGGAAAGUGGAAUUCCCGGUGUAGUGGUGAAAUGCGUAGAUAUCGGGAGGAACACCAGUGGCGAAGGCGGCUUUCCAGGCUGUUUCUGACGCUGAGGCCCUAAAGUGUGGGGAGCGAACAGG